rnacentral:rRNA from 1 species
UACGAAGGGGGCUAGCGUUGUUCGGAAUUACUGGGCGUAAAGCGCACGCAGGCGGUCUUGUAAGUUUGACGUGAAAGCUCCCGGCUUAACUGGGAGAGGUCGUGAAGACUGCAAGACUGAGGAAAUGAGAGGGGUGUAGAAUUCCCGGUGUAGCGGUGAAAUGCGCAGAUAUCGGGAAGAACACCCGUGGCGAAGGCGGCUCUCUGGGACGGUACUGACGCUGAGACGGCGAAAGCGUGGGGAGCGAACAGG